UGGGGAUUAUUGGACAAUGGGGGGAACCCUGAUCCAGCCAUGCCGCGUGGGUGAAGAAGGCUUUAUGGUGGUAAAGCAUUUUAAGCGAGGAGGAGGUUACUGGUAUUAAUACUACCAGCUACCGGACGUUACCCGCAGAACAAGCACGGGCAAACUCUGUGCCAGCAGCUGCGGAAAUACAGAGGGUGCAAGCGUUACUCGGAAUUACUGGGCGUAAAGCGCGCCUAGGUGGUUCGUUAAGUUGAAUGUGAAAGCCCCGGGCUCAACCUGGGAACUGCAUCCAAAACUGGCGAGCUAGAGUAGGGCAGAGGGUGGUGGAAUUUCCUGUGUAGCGGUGAAAUGCGUAGAUAUAGGAAGGAACAACAGUGGCGAAGGCGACCACCUGGGCUCAUACUGACACUGAGGUGCGAAAGCGUGGGGCGCAAACAGG
rnacentral:rRNA from 1 species